rnacentral:rRNA from 1 species
GCGUUAUCCGGAUUUACUGGGCGUAAAGAGCGUUAAGGCGGCCGGCAAAGUUGGGGGUGAAAUUUCAGGGCUCAACCCUGAAACUGCCUCCAAUACUGGUCGGCUCGAGUUCGAGAGAGGAAGGUGGAAUUCCCGGUGUAGUAGUGAAAUGCGUAGAUAUCGGGAGGAACACCAGUGGCGAAGGCGGCCUUCUGGCUCGCAACUGACGCUGUAGCGCGAAAGCGUG